rnacentral:rRNA from 1 species
UUGAACGCUGGCGGCAGGCCUAACACAUGCAAGUCGAGCGGUAGCACAGAGAGCUUGCUCUCGGGUGACGAGCGGCGGACGGGUGAGUAAUGUCUGGGAAACUGCCUGAUGGAGGGGGAUAACUACUGGAAACGGUAGCUAAUACCGCAUAACGUCGCAAGACCAAAGUGGGGGACCUUCGGGCCUCAUGCCAUCAGAUGUGCCCAGAUGGGAUUAGCUAGUAGGUGGGGUAACGGCUCACCUAGGCGACGAUCCCUAGCUGGUCUGAGAGGAUGACCAGCCACACUGGAACUGAGACACGGUCCAGACUCCUACGGGAGGCAGCAGUGGGGAAUAUUGCACAAUGGGCGCAAGCCUGAUGCAGCCAUGCCGCGUGUGUGAAGAAGGCCUUCGGGUUGUAAAGCACUUUCAGCGGGGAGGAAGGCGAUAAGGUUAAUAACCUUGUCGAUUGACGUUACCCGCAGAAGAAGCACCGGCUAACUCCGUGCCAGCAGCCGCGGUAAUACGGAGGGUGCAAGCGUUAAUCGGAAUUACUGGGCGUAAAGCGCACGCAGGCGGUCUGUCAAGUCGGAUGUGAAAUCCCCGGGCUCAACCUGGGAACUGCAUUCGAAACUGGCAGGCUAGAGUCUUGUAGAGGGGGGUAGAAUUCCAGGUGUAGCGGUGAAAUGCGUAGAGAUCUGGAGGAAUACCGGUGGCGAAGGCGGCCCCCUGGACAAAGACUGACGCUCAGGUGCGAAAGCGUGGGGAGCAAACAGGAUUAGAUACCCUGGUAGUCCACGCCGUAAACGAUGUCGACUUGGAGGUUGUGCCCUUGAGGCGUGGCUUCCGGAGCUAACGCGUUAAGUCGACCGCCUGGGGAGUACGGCCGCAAGGUUAAAACUCAAAUGAAUUGACGGGGGCCCGCACAAGCGGUGGAGCAUGUGGUUUAAUUCGAUGCAACGCGAAGAACCUUACCUGGUCUUGACAUCCACAGAACUUUCCAGAGAUGGAUUGGUGCCUUCGGGAACUGUGAGACAGGUGCUGCAUGGCUGUCGUCAGCUCGUGUUGUGAAAUGUUGGGUUAAGUCCCGCAACGAGCGCAACCCUUAUCCUUUGUUGCCAGCGGUCCGGCCGGGAACUCAAAGGAGACUGCCAGUGAUAAACUGGAGGAAGGUGGGGAUGACGUCAAGUCAUCAUGGCCCUUACGACCAGGGCUACACACGUGCUACAAUGGCAUAUACAAAGAGAAGCGACCUCGCGAGAGCAAGCGGACCUCAUAAAGUAUGUCGUAGUCCGGAUUGGAGUCUGCAACUCGACUCCAUGAAGUCGGAAUCGCUAGUAAUCGUAGAUCAGAAUGCUACGGUGAAUACGUUCCCGGGCCUUGUACACACCGCCCGUCACACCAUGGGAGUGGGUUGCAAAAGAAGUAGGUAGCUUAACCUUCGGGAGGGCGCUUACCACUUUGUGAUUCAUGACUGGGGUG